GUUCAACAAUAAAAUUGGAAUUUAAUAAAUUUUGUGAGUGAAUAAAAAGUUGUUUUUACCGAAAAUUACCGAAUUUGCUUUAGAUUUCCUACCGAUAACCUCUAAAAACAAUCUGGUCACUUCGCGCCUGCAAUCGAAUCGAUUUUGAUCGUAAUCAAAAAUGGAGGAUGCUAGUCAAGAAUCUAUUGCGCUUAUUCAAAAAAAAGUAUGAUGCUAGUCUAAACUCAAUUGGAAAACCCUGUAUUUCGGCAGAUAAUUAACCGAGGUCGUGAAAUAUUUUUUAGUGUGUAGUAUUUGUAGUGGGCUAGUUGUGCACUUUGCAUUGUAGUUUAAUUUCAACCUGGUUAAUAUUUUCACUAUUGUGGGAAUAUUACAUCCGAUGUGUAAUGCAGUUGUGUUGUACCACCGAGGGACUCUAAAAUAGCUUUCAAGAAUUUAUUUUGAGCUCUUUGCAAUUUUAAUUUGUGUGAGUGGGCACAAUUUUACCUAAUGGGUACAACAGCAUUUCGUCUUUGAAAUUUAAUUUCGAUUUCCUAUUAAGAAAACUGUACAGAAUUCUAAAAAGUUUUUUCACAUUUAACAGUAACAUUUUCUGUAUGAUAUCUGUAUGUCAGUCGUUUAUCUACCGUUAGUCCUAGGUAUUUAGUAUGAUCUUUCCGAUAAAUUUCACAGUCGUUAAUUAAUGGUCUAGUAAUUGGAAGCUUCCGAGAACAGGUAUACCUUGUGAAGAAGAUACCCAAGUAGCCAAAAUUGCCUAAGCAGCUAAUUUUGGCAUGCUAAAGAUCGCUGCUUGAAUUCGCCUUUUGCAGUAGAUAAACAGCGUUAAAGUUCCAGGUGGAUCUUUUAAAUAGCGCCUAAGCAGCUUCCUUAUGCCACGGUGCCAGGGAUUAUUUUUCUUUGCGUUUUAUUUUCAAGCAAGGCGUCAUCAAUGAAAUAUGUUAGCGCCUAGAUGUAUGCUGAAAGGUAAUAGCAUACAAGUAGCCAUAAUUUAGUCCAUAACGAUAAGAGUUAGUUAGUGUUAGUGAGAACGCGUACGUCUAUUGAAAUGAUGAAAUAAAUGUUAGAGUCUAAGUUGAACCACCGUACAGAACACAUCGGUUUUUUUGAUUGAGCUAUUGAACAUUUGGUCCUUCGAACAAAAAGGGAUAAACGAGUUGUCAAAAUCGCAAUAGAAUUCGGGACAUUUAGAUUCUCAUCACAAGAUCGCUGCGAUUGUAUCGUUUUUGCUUGUGCUGAAUCCACGAGAUUGUUUGUGAGUGGAAGAGUGUAGGCGUACGAUUUGCCGGCGCAUGCCUUUAUGUGCGUGUUUUUUUACGUGAGUGCACAUGAAGUGGCAUAGAGUUUUGUGACUUUUAUUACACUUUUCCGGGAGUCGGCGGUUUAGAGUGCAGAAGUAAGCGAACGAUAACAGUGCGUAAGCGUAAUUUUGUGCGUGUACCGUUUUUUUUUUAGCUUUAGCAAUCGUGCUAGCGAUUUGUGCGUGUGCGUUAGUUCGGCCAUAGCGUGGGUCCGAGUUACAGAGGUGCGCGUAACUAUAGGUGACGUAAAAUUGUUUUUUUGUUGAUUGCUAGAAAACUACACACAUUUGUGUUGGACCUGCUCCUGAGUUGGGAUGAGAAGUGUAUUUCGGCCAAUUCGCGGGCCCCAAUGCUAGGAGUGGUAAAAUCGUGUGAAAAUUAGAACAAGUUUAGCGUCGGAAAGAUCGUUGCUAGGACAAUCAGUUUGCGGUUAGUGUGUUUCGGCCAUCGUGACCGAGUUGGUGUCAGUGUUCGCCAUCGCAAUUUGAGGAGUGUUGUUGAACUUUAAAAUGCCGAAAGCAUCGAAAGAAGCAGAAAAAAUGGUGCCGUGGAUAAGAAUUUACCAAGAUCGAUUGGCAGGCCUAGGGCAAUUUGAAGAAUUUAUGGAUAAUUACGUGGAUGCACAACGUUGUGAAUUAAGUAGUCAGCUUUUGUCCUUGGAAGAGGCAAAAAAGACUUAUGAAAGCGUGCGGGAAAAGUUGUUAUUGGAGUAUGAUGAGUGUGAUGAGGUACAGUUAAGAAGUGAGAGGAAGGAGUUUCAAAGAAAGUAUCACAAAGUGAAGGGUUUUCUGUUAGAAAAACAAGGACGAGAUGAAAGUGUACGACCGAUCGCGAACAGUACUAUGACGAACACAUUGUUUUCGAGUUCACAAGUGCGUUUACCGAAAAUAGAGCUUCCUACGUUUAGUGGUGAUAGUACGCAAUGGAUGAGUUUUAAGGAUCGUUUCGAAUCGAUGGUGCACGAGGUAGUGGAGUUGUCUGAAGUUAUGAAGCUGCAAUAUUUACUGGCGUCGUUGAGAGGAGAUGUAGCUCGACAACUUGAACAUGUUCAACUUAUGGGGGAGAACUAUUCGAGUACAUGGAAGGCGCUUUUUAAGCGUUUCGAUGAUGAAAAGAAGCUGAAGCGCGAGUAUUUUAAGGCGCUCAUGGAUCUUCAACCAAUGGCAGCAGCAACACCCGAAGAGUUGACUCGAAUCGUUAAUGAAUCUCGACGGUUGGUGCGGGGAAUGGAACGACUAAAAGAGCCAGUAUCAAAAUGGGCUACACCUUGAACAAGUCUGGUAAGAUGCAAAAUUCAUCACGAUACGUUAAUGGCAUACGAAAUCUUUGCAGCUGACACGGAAGACAAUUUUGAUGACCUGAUGGAAUUCUGUGAAAAGAGGAUAAAGAUUUUGAACAACACCGUUACCGAUGGGACAAACAGAAUAUCUACAAAAGCAGCUAAUGAUCCCAUUUCAAGUCGUGCAGAGAACAACGGGCAGAGAAAGAACCCCGGUACCAAAAUCCAUGCGACUUUUCGCUAACGGAUUGAUUAAAUGGCGCCCGAUUAGACGAUCCGAUAGAAGCACUUUUCAGGCUUAACGGAUAGUUUGAAUGACGCGACAUAGUCGUGUUGCAGCAACGUGUGAUAUGUAUCAUGCGAUGUCUUUUAUUGUACAUGCGUCUGGAUUUUUUAAUUCAUGCAGUGGUUGCGAUGAGAACGAAAAUUCUCUCACUCACACAACCACAACCCGUACACGGAACGUACGCGAGCUGUCAGUUUGUAAUGCAAACAAAGUGUUGAAGUGGAUCUAGUAGUUGAUGGGUUUCUAAAUCAUUCAAAUAACAGAAAUAUAUUAGAUACGGUAAGUGUAACAAUGUCCGCUUUGUUUUGUUUGUUCUCAACAAUUUGGCUGAUAUGUUUUUGCGUUGGAUAUAGAUUCCGAAAAUGAACCAAAACAACGUGGCGCAGCCCGGUAGAGGUAAGAAGAUUCCUGCAUCUGGAAAAAGAUCCCGCAAUAUUUUGGAGAAGGAAAAUGAAGAACCUGGAACUAAAAAAAAAGGUAAGAUUGCAUUGCAUUGUUUACAUGUGCGAUUGUUUAAUGCCCCCAGGACAAUCGCAUGGCAAUCGGAUUGAAGGCGCAACAUUUUCCAUACAAUCCGCAGUGUUGCGUUUUCUUCGCGCCAACUUUGCCUGUAUUUUCAAUGAGCCAAGCGAUUUUACCCCCUCCUACACGCGUUGUAUCCUACAGCACGCUUGUCGCGGCAACGUUCACCACAUACACACACAUCUCCACACUCAGCGUACGACAUCUUCCCUGUUGCUGUUCUGGACUCAGACAAAAUUUGUGUUUCUACACUUAUUGUUCAAAAAAGUAGAAGCUCUUAGGAUCUGAAUUUACAAACAAAUAUCAAAAUGUUAUGUUCUGCUAAUGAUAUUGCACUGAAUUUAAUUGCACUAAAUUAAGUUUUUACAUAUCUUUCGUAAAAGUUCGUCAGAGUAUGAAAAUGUCGAUACAAUUUGUCAUGAAUAACUUAAAUUUUAAGAUUUUCGCGCAUAAAAUUAUGACGCGCGCUGUGUGUGCAGCGGCGUAAUUCAUUACUCGUAUAGCCGUCUCGCUUCUUCUUGUGUGUCCUUUACCGUUGCUCACCGCUUCAAGAACAUUGCUGCUCACACACACGUCAGUCUGCGGCAAACAAUUGGAGGGGGAGGAUGUGUCGGUUUGCUCCAGAAAUCGUGUGUGAUUUUGGUGUUCCGGAUUUGGUUCCAUCGCUGUUUGUUUUGGUGGUAUUGUAAAGGUAAGAAUCAUCAACCGAUGUAAAAGUGUGAGAGUAAGAUGAUGCUGAUGGUGACUGAUGCUUUUCUUUGUUUCUUUUCCUGCUUUCAUCCACUGAUGGCGUCGAGCAUCGCCGAGGAUGUGAUCGAAUGCGGAAAAUUCUAAACGAGGAGCUUCAUUCCGGAUUUUGUUUGCAAUAAGCGCUGAAAUCAUCCUCCACCUUACAACGAACGGUCAACGGAUGAGGAAGGAGAGGAGGGACGGCAAAGGUACACGCACAAACGUGCACACAUCAGCCUUCUCUGUGAACGAGAACACGGGAGGGGGAGG